rnacentral:rRNA from 1 species
UAGGGAAUCUUCCGCAAUGGACGAAAGUCUGACGGAGCAACGCCGCGUGAGUGAUGAAGGCUUUCGGGUCGUAAAGCUCUGUUGCCAGGGAAGAACACUUGUGAGAGUAACUGCUCUUAAGGUGACGGUACCUGAGAAGAAAGCCCCGGCUAAUUACGUGCCAGCAGCCGCGGUAAUACGUAGGGGGCAAGCGUUGUCCGGAAUUAUUGGGCGUAAAGCGCGCGCAGGCGGCUUUGUAAGUCUGUCGUUUAAGUUCGGGGCUCAACCCCGUAUCGCGAUGGAAACUGCAAGGCUUGAGUACAGAAGAGGAAAGUGGAAUUCCACGUGUAGCGGUGAAAUGCGUAGAGAUGUGGAGGAACACCAGUGGGGAAGGCGACUUUCUGGGCU